rnacentral:rRNA from 1 species
UACGUAGGGGCAAGCGUUGUCCGGAAUCAUUGGGCGUAAAGCGCGCGUAGGCGGCCCGGUAAGUCCGUUGUGAAAGUCAAAGGCUCAACCUUUGAACGCCGAUGGAUACUGCCGGGCUAGAGUCCGGAAGAGGCGAGUGGAAUUCCUGGUGUAGCGGUGGAAUGCGCAGAUAUCAGGAGGAACACCAAUAGCGAAGGCAGCUCGCUGGGACGGUACUGACGCUGAGGCGCGAAAGCGUGGGGAGCGAACAGG